rnacentral:rRNA from 1 species
AUACGUAGGGAGCGAGCGUUGUCCGGAAUUACUGGGUGUAAAGGGCGCGUAGGCGGUUUCUUAAGUCAGGUGUGAAAGACCGGGGCUCAACUCCGGUUAGGCACUUGAAACUGGGAGGCUUGAGUGUGGGAGAGGAAAGUGGAAUUCCCGGUGUAGCGGUGAAAUGCGUAGAAAUCAGGAGGAACACCAGUGGCGAAGGCGACUUUCUGGACUGACCCUGACGCUGAGGUGCGAAAGCGUGGGUAGCAAACAGGAUUAGAUACCCUGGUAGUCCACGCCGUAAACGAUGGAUACUAGGUGUAGGAGGUAUCGACCCCUUCUGUGCCGCAGCUAACGCAAUAAGUAUCCCGCCUGGGGAGUACGGUCGCAAGGCUGAA